UACGUAGGUGGCAAGCGUUGUCCGGAAUUAUUGGGCGUAAAGCGCGCGCAGGCGGUCCUUUAAGUCUGAUGUGAAAGCCCACGGCUCAACCGUGGAGGGUCAUUGGAAACUGGGGGACUUGAGUGCAGAAGAGGAAAGUGGAAUUCCAAGUGUAGCGGUGAAAUGCGUAGAGAUUUGGAGGAACACCAGUGGCGAAGGCGACUUUCUGGUCUGUAACUGACACUGAGGCGCGAAAGCGUGGGGAGCGAACAGG
rnacentral:rRNA from 1 species